AGGUCAGAUCUUUGUUUAUUCGUUUUACCGUUAAAAUUCACUCUUGAAACCUUUAUUAGAGGUCAGUUUUUCAGGCUUUUAAAGACAAAAUAUGAUGCUAUGAAGUUGUUGUCAGACUUGCAUUUAUGUUUUUGUGCUGGUGAUCUUAAUCUUAAUGUUACUGUAUGAUCCUAUAGAUGUCCAAACUCGCUUUCUGCUGAGGUUUUUGAGGUUAGAAUCCAGGUGAAGUAGUAUUGAACAUAAAUGGCAGAAGUAUGAGUUCUAAAUUGAUCAUAAACUUCAAAUGUUUCAAACACCAAUUAAGUCCUUGCGUCAAUCUAACUGUUACACUGGCAGAAGUAUGAGUUCUAAAUUGAUCAUAAACUUCAAAUGUUUCAAACACCAAUUAAGUCCUUGCGUCAAUCUAACUGUUACACGAUUCCAUUUUUCAACACAUUAAAGUUCAAUGUUCAAAUUGACGAAAGGACCUAAUUGGAACAAUAAUUAAGUUUGAGGUUUUAAUUGAAACGUUUUGAAGUUUAGAAUUUGCCCCAUAGUUUGGAUUGUCUAGUGCAAUUAUCAGUUCUUACUAAAUUUUUUUGUUGCCUUCUCUAAGAGGAAAUGAACACAUCAGAGGGUAGGCAUGACUUGACUUGAUUUGCAUAUGAUUGGGAAAUUUAUUUACUAGUAACUUGAAACAAAUGCUGCUUAAUAUGUUCUAAAAGUGUUCUGAUAUGAAGGGCACAGUCCA
rnacentral:lncRNA from 1 species